GUCCCAUUUUCAGGGAAUUUCUAUGUCAUAAAGCAGGCUUUUUUUUCCAUAACGUGGAUCAACUGAAAUGCCCAUUGUGACAGACACCAUGCCAUUUACCCAUGUGGCACACCCAGGCAGAGAAGAGUAUGAACUGGAAGCCAUAGUGUAAUUUAGUAGGUGUUGUUUUCUCUGCAGAGAAUACUAGUUUUCUUUGCCUGGGCAGAGUUUAAAAGAAUGUUGUUCCCUGAUUUGGUUUUUGUUUAAAACAUAUUGUAUCCCUCAUUAGGCCGUUAAUCAGCAGGAAUCAGGUUUUUGCACAACUGCUACACUGACAGCUGGCUCACUAUUAUUUUCCAUUCAGCAAAUUCUGAUUCAUUCAUUCAUUCACUGACGAUUGGUACUGAGACCAAGUCCCCUGGCAUCCCCGGAGACCUUCGCCAUGCCUCCAGAAUGGGAGUUUAGUAUACAACGGGCAAGAGGCAGUGAUGCUUUCUCUGUAGACCUCCAGGCUUCUGGCGGGAGCCAUCAGGGAACCAGAGGAAGAAUUAGCCUGUGUGUUGGCGUGGCUGUGUUCCAGUAAAUAUUUUGAUGCAUCUGGCUGCCAGCUCGGGUCUGAGGGAAUCUACCUAGCAUUUAAAUUUUGAUGGGGAGCUGUUUUGAAUAAUAAGAGUGCAGCCGGCUGUGAGUCAGUGCAUGUGUGUUGACUGAAGGGGGGAAGAAAAGCGGGGGGGGGGGAAUCUCAAAGCUUAACGCUCGCUGAACGCCGAGCUGCAGUGCUUUGCUUUCGCCUCCUCCUCUUGUUUCUAGUAGAUAUUCCACACAGAUUUUGUGUUGUUGUUGUUGUUCACUGGGGUGGGAGGGAGGAAAAGGGGGGGAAAAACACAAAUUAAAACCCCUCGCUCAAGUAGCAGUUGCAAUGGGUGCUGUAAUGGGCACGUUUUCUUCUCUGCAAACCAAACAAAGAAGACCCUCGAGAGAUCACCAUUCUCACACUUUCAAAAAAGAAGAUGAAGAAACAAAUGGUUAUACAACAGGGAGAUUAAGAGCCAGGUGUUGGUGAGAUGUUAAGACUGUUACCAUCCCACAAUUUCUCUUGCUCACCCCAAUCCAUUCAUCCAUUUCUACAUACAGGUAUCUGCUGACUUUUAUUCUGUUCUCAUUUCUCUCCACAUCUGUCUGUCUGUCUGUCUAGCUGGCCAGCCUCAACCUAAGUCCCAUGGGGCUUUAUAUGUCAUAGCAAGCAAUUUGAAUUGU
rnacentral:lncRNA from 1 species